rnacentral:rRNA from 1 species
CAAACCGGAGGAAGGUGGGGAUGACGUCAAAUCAUCAUGCCCCUUAUGAUUUGGGCUACACACGUGCUACAAUGGACAAUACAAAGGGCAGCGAAACCGCGAGGUCAAGCAAAUCCCAUAAAGUUGUGCUCAGUUCGGAUUGUAGUCUGCAACUCGACUACAUGAAGCUGGAAUCGCUAGUAAUCGUAGAUCAGCAUGCUACGGUGAAUACGUUCCCGGG